rnacentral:lncRNA from 1 species
UAGCUGUAAACUUGCAUUAAAAAAGAGUAAACACAAGUGACACAAUAAAAUGUACAUGAACUCGUGAACAUUGUGUAAGAGAAGUUAAUAAAAAAUAGUGGUCAAUUACAUCAUAUAAUUUGGUUCUAUACUCUUGUAUAUAUAUCCUAAAUGCUACCCCUUUGUGAUCAACUCUUUGUCCUUCAAACCGAAUGGCACAGCUACUGCCCCUUGCGGAAAAAGAAAGGGGGACUCUAUAAAUACCCAUAAAUUUAAACUUAUAAUUGCAAGAAAAAUGCCACAAGCACCAUAUAUAAGGAUAUAUUACAAAAUACAAUGCAGUUCAUAGGCUCAUUCUUCAAUUAGCAUUCUGGAUAUCAAAUCAAAAUUAUGAGGUAUUGUUGUGAAUUUCAAAACUUCUAAACCAGGUGCUAGCCUCAGAACAUCCUUCAGUAUGUACCUACCACAAAUUAUAGUCAAAUUAAUAAAAUACAUAUCCCUUUUUAGAAGCGAAAAGAUACAACCAUCUAAAAUAGAGAAACUUGGCGGCACGCGGAAUAAAGAAGAUAUUGCUCAUGCUCGCUUGAGACAAGGAAUAUAGCUAAAUAAUUUCCAAACCGUAAGAACGAACUACAAUAAACAGCCAAGAAAAAACUAAUAUUCUACAUAUGCUGGACACAUGGAUGUUACUACAAAAAGGGAAGGCAUCAACAAGCAUAAGUAUCUCAUUUUUAGCUACCAAUAUUAGCAAAUAUUCUGUUAUGGGAAACUAUUUAAUGGUAGAACCUCUGAAUGACGCAAAUAGUCAUUCUUCACAUCAUCAUCUUGCUGGUGACAAAAUAAACACUAUUGUUUCAUUAUCUCAUGACAAGCUAUAUCAAGCGCAUUGUCUCCUUUCACUAUGGCAAACAAUCUUACUAUCAAUGGACAUGUUCUGGGAAAAAGUGUUUUUAGUUCUCACAAAUCUGCACAUGUUCUCGCAAACUGUAUCUAACAUGUGCAGGUUUUAGAGAACUAAACAAGCUUUGUACAGAAUAUGUGUAGUUCAAGGCUGUAUUUCAGAAAGUCUAACUGUGUCGGAAAAAAAACUUGAAACCAACACUGUAAAAAAAGUGUGCCUAAGACUGUCAAAAAUUUGAACCUAGUCCAAGCACUUCCUAAAAUACCUUGUUAUGUUCUCCAUGAGUGCACUCAUUAAUCUGUCAGUUGGUGUCAUAAAGAGCAUCUGCGAGACACUUUUUACUGUGCAGCAGCUAGUGUUAUGUAAAAAGGGGUGGAAUCAUCAGGUGAAGAUAGAUCUCUCCUCAUUCAGUUGGUAGUGCACUUCCAUAAAGUUUAUUAGUAGAGAUAUUAUAGUUUUUGAUGAUAACAUUCUUAUAUAUAUAAAACAAAGCCAAUGCCCAAGUACUGAUUUAUGAGUGUGAAACCACAAUACAUGUGAGCGAGCAUGCUGUCUUUAUCAACGAGUAGUUCUAUUUUCUCACCACAAUCUAGUACCUGAUGCACCACUGGUUAGAUUAAAUACUGUUAGGGGGAAAACAUACUGAAGCUUCAGACAUAUCCCCAUAGAUAUAGUAUCAGACGAUCUAGGGUUUUUUUACGGGCGGUCACAGACCGAGUUCACGAGCACUCCGCUGCCGCGUGGACCAAUGAUUUUAUGGGCCCAAUGGCAGCCACCCGGUAAAGCAGUCAAAGUUGUAACAAAAGACGAAGUGAAUAGUAAAAAUCAAGGGUGAAAAACAAUCAAAGAAGCUAAUCGAACAGCCAGCGAUCGUGCACGCGCAAAGGCCCCCAGAACGGCGGGUUGCCCACCAGCAUUUAUAUGUUCGAUGAAACUCAUGGAUCUCCGUAACUACAGGUUUACGAAUAACAAAAUCAAUGAAGAAGCUUAUUGUAUAAGCCUACUAAAUUUGCCUACAGUAUGUAAGCAAAAGUAGUUAUCUGCACAAAACAGGGCUGCAUACUUUCUCCAGGUCUAGUUUUCACAAAUAAGUUCCUACUGGAUACAGCUACUAACUGAAGUAAAAUCAAGCAUGUAUGCACUCUGACUAUCACAACUUCCAGUAAACUAAGUAACUAACUAUAUUGAGCAAAAUGUAUAAUGCUCCACAUUAGGUAGGGAGACGAACACAAGUAGCAGAGUAUAUGCACCUUGAACAUGUUGAUGUUUGCUUUGGUCUCCCCUCAAGGCCAUCCCACAAACAGAAGCAAUAAACCUCUGUGCCUCCUCCAUGUCAAUAUGAACCGGCCCUAUAAGGCAGAGAUUUUCGUAAACUGAAAGAAUGAACAUCAUUAAACUGUGUUCAGGAGUAAAAGCAUAUAUAUAUAAACUGAGCUGAUCUGCAGGCCCUAUAAAAACUAACGGGAAUGACACGAGAACAGUAUGGUAUAGAAACAGAAGACCUGGGCAAGAACCAAGUAAUGGAAAAAUUACAAACCUAUAUUAUACAUACUAUUACAGUUCGAUGUGAAGAUUCUCAAGAGAAAUGUGUAAACUAAAAUACUAAAAAGAAUCAUAGCCAAUUCAAAAAUGGCUGCAUACACAUAUACAGAUUUUCAGGAGAAAUGUGUAAACUAAAACACCUAACAAAUAUUUGAAUCGUGUAUAUGCAAAGCACAUUGCUAGCACGACCCACCAUGCAAACGAUCAUCAUAAAUACUUGUGAAUCUGUUUCAGACCAUACCAACACAACUGGAUAGCAAGAUGAUCAGGGUAAAACAAAUUACCUACGGAACCAUGUAUGCUUGUGCAGCUAAUCAGACAUCUCUCCAAAAUAGAUCAGUGAAGAUAAUUUGCUCAUAGAAUCAUAUAUGCUUAUGCAACUAAUGAAGCAUCUAUAUUAAAUAGCCAUUGAAAAUACAUCUUUAAAGAACAAAGCAG